AUAAAGUUUGAUUCUUUCUUGUUUUUUUUAUGUAUUUACUGAAAUUGCAUGAGAAUAGUAGUAUGUACGGAUUAUGUCUUUUAAAAGGAGUAAAUAGGAAGAGAAUAAAGCAGAAUAAAUUAUCGAUAAAAUGUAAAUGCUCAGCAUAUAAUAUUAAUUAUUUUGAGAAAUUAAGAGUUAGCAUGUAAAGAUAGAUCUGAUGAAACAUUGUGCCAGCAGUCGCGGUUAUACAUUAAGGUCGAGUAAAAAUCAAAUAUUGUUUAGUUAAAUUUAAAUGAAUUUAGUUAUAAGAUUACUUAAAAAUUUGGAGGUAAAAUUAAAGAUUUUUAAAGUUAAUAAUUAGAUAAAAAUUGAAGCUAGAAAAAUUUAGGCUUAAACUAGGAUUAGAUACCCUACUAUACUAAAAAUGAAUUUCAAAAAGUUGAUUAUUAUUAGGUAUAUACUUUAAAUUUGAAGAAUUUGGCGGUAGUUUAGUCUUGUUAGAGGAACCUGUUUUAUUAAAUCGAUAAACCGCGUAAAAUCUUGCUUCUUUUUGUUAGAGCAGCUUAUAUACCGUCAUUAACAGAUAAUUUUAUGAGAAUUAAUUGUUGGAAUUUAUGAAAAUAUAAAUAAAAUUAGAUCAAGGUGUAGUCUAUAAAGAAGCUAAAAUGGGUUACAAUAAAAAUUUGUUUAAAACGUAUUUAUAGGGCAAAGUCUAUAAUGAAGGAGGAUUUAAUUGUAAUUAUAAAUUAAUACAUUAUGAUGAUAUACAGCACUAAAUUAUGUACAUAUUGCCCGUCGCUUUCAUUAAAAGAUGAGAUAAGUCGUAACAUAGUAGGUUUAUUGGAAAUUGAACCUAGAUUGU
rnacentral:ncRNA from 1 species